rnacentral:rRNA from 1 species
AGAGAUUUGAAUCAUGGCUCAGAUAGAACGCUGGGCGGGCACGGCUUUAACACAUGCAAGUCGAGCGGUAGCAGGGAGAAAAGCUUGCUUUCUUCGCUGACGAGCGGCGGACGGGUGAGUAAUGUCUGGGGAUCUGCCUGAUGGAGGGGGAUAACUACUGGAAACGGUAGCUAAUACCGCAUAACGUCGCAAGACCAAAGUGGGGGACCUUCGGGCCUCAUGCCAUCAGAUGAACCCAGAUGGGAUUAGCUAGUAGGUGAGGUAAUGGCUCACCUAGGCGACGAUCCCUAGCUGGUCUGAGAGGAUGACCAGCCACACUGGAACUGAGACACGGUCCAGACUCCUACGGGAGGCAGCAGUGGGGAAUAUUGCACAAUGGGCGCAAGCCUGAUGCAGCCAUGCCGCGUGUAUGAAGAAGGCCUUCGGGUUGUAAAGUACUUUCAGUAGGGAGGAAGGUGUACGUGUUAAUAGCACGUGCAAUUGACGUUACCUACAGAAGAAGCACCGGCUAACUCCGUGCCAGCAGCCGCGGUAAUACGGAGGGUGCAAGCGUUAAUCGGAAUUACUGGGCGUAAAGCGCACGCAGGCGGUUUGUUAAGUUGGAUGUGAAAUCCCCGGGCUUAACCUGGGAACUGCAUCCAAGACUGGCAAGCUAGAGUCUCGUAGAGGGAGGUAGAAUUCCAGGUGUAGCGGUGAAAUGCGUAGAGAUCUGGAGGAAUACCGGUGGCGAAGGCGGCCUCCUGGACGAAGACUGACGCUCAGGUGCGAAAGCGUGGGGAGCAAACAGGAUUAGAUACCCUGGUAGUCCACGCUGUAAACGAUGUCGAUUUGGAGGUUGUGCCCUUGAGGCGUGGCUUCCGAAGCUAGACUGCAGUAUGAUCGACCGC